rnacentral:rRNA from 1 species
AGUGAACGCUGGCGGUAAGCCUAACACAUGCAAGUCGAACGGCAGCACAGUAAGAGCUUGCUCUUACGGGUGGCGAGUGGCGGACGGGUGAGGAAUACAUCGGAAUCUACUUUUUCGUGGGGGAUAACGUAGGGAAACUUACGCUAAUACCGCAUACGACCUACGGGUGAAAGCAGGGGAUCUUCGGACCUUGCGCGAUUGAAUGAGCCGAUGUCGGAUUAGCUAGUUGGCGGGGUAAAGGCCCACCAAGGCGACGAUCCGUAGCUGGUCUGAGAGGAUGAUCAGCCACACUGGAACUGAGACACGGUCCAGACUCCUACGGGAGGCAGCAGUGGGGAAUAUUGGACAAUGGGCGCAAGCCUGAUCCAGCCAUACCGCGUGGGUGAAGAAGGCCUUCGGGUUGUAAAGCCCUUUUGUUGGGAAAGAAAAGCAGCAGGUUAAUACCCCGCUGUUCUGACGGUACCCAAAGAAUAAGCACCGGCUAACUUCGU